AACAAUCGCUAUUGGCCUUAUUUCCAGAACUGCAUUGGUGCUAUAGAUGGAACACAUAUCCCCAUCACUAUUGCUGAAGAUAAGGCCCCCCCAUUUAGGAAUAGGAAAGGAGCCCUCUCACAGAAUGUCAUGGUUGCAUGUGAUUUUCAUCUGAAUUUCACAUUUAUUUCAUGUGGGUGGGAAGGAUCUGCAUCAGAUGCAGGAGUUCUUCGUUCUGCUAUUAGCAAGGGGUUUCAUGUGCCAGAUGGAAAAUUUUAUCUCGUAGAUGGUGGAUAUGCCAACACGCCUUCUUUUCUUGCACCAUAUCGAGGAGUUCGGUAA
rnacentral:rRNA from 1 species